rnacentral:miRNA from 1 species
CACUGCCCUUUUCCAUUGCCU